rnacentral:lncRNA from 1 species
UUCACAAAUCUCCUUGAUUUGUACCCCUUUUCAAUUUUAAAUUUUAUAACUAGCAAUAAAAAUAAAUUUUCAAGUCAUCAUAAGGUUUAUGUCACUGGAACUAUAUCUCUGGACAAAUUUUAGGGAUGCACCUUACUUCUAUACAAUAAGGAGUGUACCUUAUACAAACCUUAUCCUAGUCUCAUUAUAUACUUUAUAGUAAGAUAUUAUUUAGUCUAGAAAAUUUGUCAUUCUAUGCUUUCAAAAACAACUAAAAUUCAACUUUCCAUUACAAGAAAUUAUUUCUAGAAGAAACGAAGGCAAAAAUUCAUAAACAAAUGCAAUACAAGGAGAAACGGUUUUAAAUGUCGGGACUAAUUUAAAAGAAAAUUUCUUACAAAAGCACAUAGAAGAAGAAUACCAUGAAUUACUCAAAGC